rnacentral:rRNA from 1 species
AUGAACGCUAGCUACAGGCUUAACACAUGCAAGUCGAGGGGCAGCAUGAACUUAGCUUGCUAAGUUUGAUGGCGACCGGCGCACGGGUGAGUAACACGUAUCCAACCUGCCGAUGACUCGGGGAUAGCCUUUCGAAAGAAAGAUUAAUACCCGAUGGCAUAGUUCUUCCGCAUGGUAGAACUAUUAAAGAAUUUCGGUCAUCGAUGGGGAUGCGUUCCAUUAGGUUGUUGGCGGGGUAACGGCCCACCAAGCCUUCGAUGGAUAGGGGUUCUGAGAGGAAGGUCCCCCACAUUGGAACUGAGACACGGUCCAAACUCCUACGGGAGGCAGCAGUGAGGAAUAUUGGUCAAUGGACGAGAGUCUGAACCAGCCAAGUAGCGUGAAGGAUGACUGCCCUAUGGGUUGUAAACUUCUUUUAUACGGGAAUAAAGUGAGGCACGUGUGCCUUUUUGUAUGUACCGUAUGAAUAAGGAUCGGCUAACUCCGUGCCAGCAGCCGCGGUAAUACGGAGGAUCCGAGCGUUAUCCGGAUUUAUUGGGUUUAAAGGGAGCGUAGGCGGACGCUUAAGUCAGUUGUGAAAGUUUGCGGCUCAACCGUAAAAUUGCAGUUGAUACUGGGUGUCUUGAGUACAGUAGAGGCAGGCGGAAUUCGUGGUGUAGCGGUGAAAUGCUUAGAUAUCACGAAGAACUCCGAUUGCGAAGGCAGCUUGCUGGACUGUAACUGACGCUGAUGCUCGAAAGUGUGGGUAUCAAACAGGAUUAGAUACCCUGGUAGUCCACACAGUAAACGAUGAAUACUCGCUGUUUGCGAUAUACAGUAAGCGGCCAAGCGAAAGCGUUAAGUAUUCCACCUGGGGAGUACGCCGGCAACGGUGAAACUCAAAGGAAUUGACGGGGGCCCGCACAAGCAGUGGAGUAUGUGGUUUAAUUCGACGCAACGCGAAGAACCUUACCAAGUCUUGACAUCCCUUGACAGGCAUAGAAAUAUGUUUUCUCUUCGGAGCAAGGAGACAGGUGGUGCAUGGUUGUCGUCAGCUCGUGCCGUGAGGUGUCGGCUUAAGUGCCAUAACGAGCGCAACCCUUAUCGAUAGUUACCAUCAGGUUAUGCUGGGGACUCUGUCGAGACUGCCGUCGUAAGAUGUGAGGAAGGUGGGGAUGACGUCAAAUCAGCACGGCCCUUACGUCCGGGGCUACACACGUGUUACAAUGGGGGGUACAGAAGGCAGCUACACGGCGACGUGAUGCUAAUCCCUAAAGCCUCUCUCAGUUCGGAUUGGAGUCUGCAACCCGACUCCAUGAAGCUGGAUUCGCUAGUAAUCGCGCAUCAGCCACGGCGCGGUGAAUACGUUCCCGGGCCUUGUACACACCGCCCGUCAAGCCAUGAAAGCCGGGGGUACCUGAAGUGCGUAACCGCAAGGAGCGCCCUAGGGUAAAACUGGUGAUUGGGGCU